rnacentral:rRNA from 1 species
CGGGUGAGUAACACGUAGGUAAUCUACCUUUGGAUUGGGAAUAACAACCGGAAACGGUUGCUAAUACCGAAUAAUGCAGCGGCACCUAAUGGUGACAGUUGUUAAAGCGGGGGAUCGCAAGACCUCGCGUCUAAAGAGGAGCCUGCGGCGGAUUAGCUAGUUGGUAGGGUAAUGGCUUACCAAGGCGAUGAUCCGUAGCCGGCCUGAGAGGGCGGUCGGCCACACUGACACUGACAUACGGGUCAGACUCCUACGGGAGGCAGCAGUCGGGAAUUUUGGGCAAUGGGCGAAAGCCUGACCCAGCAACGCCGCGUGAAGGAUGAAAUCCUUCGGGAUGUAAACUUCGCAAGAACGGGAAGAAUAAGCCGGUGUUAACACCAUCGGCGAUGACGGUACUGUUUGUAAGCUCCGGCUAACUCCGUGCCAGCAGCCGCGGUAAUACGGGGGGAGCAAGCGUUGUUCGGAUUUACUGGGCGUAAAGGGCGGGUAGGCGGCCACCGCAAGUCAGUUGUGAAAUCUCCGGGCUUAACCCGGAAAGGUCAACUGAUACUGCGGGGCUAGAGUGCAGAAGGGGCAACUGGAAUUCUCGGUGUAGCGGUGAAAUGCGUAGAUAUCGAGAGGAAC